rnacentral:rRNA from 1 species
GAUCCUGGCUCAGGAUGAACGCUGGCGGCGUGCUUAACACAUGCAAGUCGAACGGGAAUUACUUUAUUGAAACUUCGGUCGAUAUGAUUUAAUUCUAGUGGCGGACGGGUGAGUAACGCGUGGGUAACCUGCCUUAUACAGGGGGAUAACAGUCAGAAAUGACUGCUAAUACCGCAUAAGCGCACAGGACCGCAUGGUCCGGUGUGAAAAACUCCGGUGGUAUAAGAUGGACCCGCGUUGGAUUAGCUGGUUGG